UACAGAGGUCUCGAGCGUUGUUCGGAUUCAUUGGGCGUAAAGGGCGCGUAGGCGGCGGGGUAAGUCUGGUGUGAAAUCUCGGAGCUCAACUCCGAAAUUGCACUGGAUACUGCUCUGCUAGAGGGCUGGAGAGGAGAUCGGAAUUCACGGUGUAGCAGUGAAAUGCGUAGAGAUGUGGAGGAACACCGAUGGCGAAGGCAGCCUCCUGGGCCAGCACAUGACGCUCAUGCACGAAAGCGUGGGGAGCAAACAGG
rnacentral:rRNA from 1 species